rnacentral:rRNA from 1 species
UACGAAGGGGGCUAGCGUUGCUCGGAAUCACUGGGCGUAAAGGGUGCGUAGGCGGGUCUUAAGUCAGAGGUGAAAGCCCGGGGCUCAACCCCGGAACUGCCUUUGAAACUAGAUAGCUAGAAUCUUGGAGAGGUCAGUGGAAUUCCGAGUGUAGAGGUGAAAUUCGUAGAUAUUCGGAAGAACACCAGUGGCGAAGGCGACUGACUGGACAAGUAUUGACGCUGAGGUACGAAAGCGUGGGGAGCAAACAGG